rnacentral:rRNA from 1 species
GAACGAACGCUGGCGGCAGGCCUAACACAUGCAAGUCGAGCGGACCCUUCGGGGUUAGCGGCGGACGGGUGAGUAACGCGUGGGAAUAUGCCCUUCUCUACGGAAUAGUCCUGGGAAACUGGGGGUAAUACCGUAUACGCCCUUUGGGGGAAAGAUUUAUCGGGGAAGGAUUAGCCCGCGUUGGAUUAGGUAGUUGGUGGGGUAAUGGCCUACCAAGCCGACGAUCCAUAGCUGGUUUGAGAGGAUGAUCAGCCACACUGGGACUGAGACACGGCCCAGACUCCUACGGGAGGCAGCAGUGGGGAAACUUAGACAAUGGGGGCAACCCUGAUCUAGCCAUGCCGCGUGAGUGAUGAAGGCCUUAGGGUUGUAAAGCUCUUUCAGCUGGGAAGAUAAUGACGGUACCAGCAGAAGAAGCCCCGGCUAACUCCGUG